ACGCUGNNGGCGUGNNNANACAUGCAAGUCGAACGAGAAAUCCGGACUUCGGUCUGGAGAGUAAAGUGGCGAACGGGUGAGUAACACGUGGAUAAUCUACCUCAUAGUCUGGGAUANUCNUCCGAAAGGGGNUCUAAUACCGGAUAAUAUCAUUUGAUGGCAUCAUCGAAUGAUCAAAGGCGGGGCAACCUGCCGCUGAGAGAUGAGUCCGCGCUCCAUUAGCUUGUUGGUAAGGUAAAAGCUUACCAAGGCUGCGAUGGAUAGCCGGCCUGAGAGGGUGAACGGCCACACUGGGACUGAGAUACGGCCCAGACUCCUACGGGAGGCAGCAGUAGGGAAUAUUGCACAAUGGACGAAAGUCUGAUGCAGCAACGCCGCGUGGAUGAUGAAGCUCUUUGGAGUGUAAAAUCCUGUUAGAAGGGAAGAAACGCAUGGGUAGUAACUGACCUGUGCCUGACGGUACCUUCAGAGAAAGCACCGGCUAACUCCGUGCCAGCAGCCGCGGUAAUACGGGGGGUGCAAGCGUUGUUCGGAUUUACUGGGCGUAAAGGGCGCGUAGGCGGACCUACAAGUCAGAUGUGAAAUCUGUCGGCUUAACCGGCAGCCUGCAUUUGAAACUGUGGGUCUUGAGUGCAGGAGAGGAGAGCGGAAUUCCAGGUGUAGCGGUGAAAUGCGUAGAUAUCUGGAAGAACACCAGUUGCGAAGGCGGCUCUCUGGACUGACAUUGACGCUAAAGCGCGAAGGCUUAGGUAGCAAACAGGAUUAGAUACCCUGGUAGUCCAAGCGGUAAACGAUGGGAACUAGGUGUCAGGGGUCUCGACCCCCUUGGUGCCGAAGCUAACGCAUUAAGUUCCCCGCCUGGGGAGUACGAUCGCAAGAUUGAAACUCAAAUGAAUUGACGG
rnacentral:rRNA from 1 species